CGUCGAGUGGCGGACGGGUGAGUAAUGCUUGGGAAUCUGCCCAGUAGCGGGGGACAACUCGGGGAAACUCGAGCUAAUACCGCAUACGCCCUACGGGGGAAAGCGGGGGAUCUCCGGACCUCGCACUAUUGGAUGAGCCCAAGUCGGAUUAGCUAGUUGGUGGGGUAAAGGCCUACCAAGGCGACGAUCCGUAGCUGGUCUGAGAGGACGAUCAGCCACACCGGAACUGAGACACGGUCCGG
rnacentral:rRNA from 1 species